rnacentral:rRNA from 1 species
UACGAAGGACCCAAGCGUUAUCCGGAUUUAUUGGGUUUAAAGGGUGCGUAGGCGGUCAUGUAAGUCAGUGGUGAAAUCCGGCAGCUCAACUGUCGAUGUGCCAUUGAUACUGUAUGACUUGAGUACAGACGAGGUAGGCGGAAUUGACGGUGUAGCGGUGAAAUGCUUAGAUAUCGUCAAGAACACCGAUAGCGAAGGCAGCUUACUAGACUGUAACUGACGCUGAUGCACGAAAGUGUGGGGAUCAAACAGG